GUAGGUGGCAAGCGUUGUCCGGAAUUAUUGGGCGUAAAGCGCGCGCAGGCGGUUCUUUAAGUCUGAUGUGAAAGCCCACGGCUCAACCGUGGAGGGUCAUUGGAAACUGGAGAACUUGAGUACAGAAGAGGAAAGCGGAAUUCCACGUGUAGCGGUGAAAUGCGUAGAGAUGUGGAGGAACACCAGUGGCGAAGGCGGCUUUCUGGUCUGUAACUGACGCUGAGGCGCGUAAGCGUGGGGAGCAAACAGGAUUAGAUACCCUGGUAGUCCACGCCGUAAACGAUGAGUGCUAAGUGUUAGGGGGUUUCCGCCCCCCUUAGUGCUGCAGCUAACGCAUUAAGCACUCCGCCUGGGAUACGGCCGCAAGGCUG
rnacentral:rRNA from 1 species